rnacentral:lncRNA from 1 species
AGUGCAGGAAGAGGCCUUUGUCAAAAGCAGGCUCAGUAUGGCAGCUGUCCCAGGCCUGGCCCCAUUUCCUUCCCUCCCCACUCCUCCUUUCUCGUGGUGGCUUUCUCGCUCUUUUUCUUGGUGUGGGGCUGGGGCCUCUCGGGACUUAUCAGGUGCACCCAUUCACUGGGCUUCACUGUAUGAGAUGGGGCUCAGCUGGAGGCAGCAAGUGUCGGGGGAAGAAAGGGCUGAUUGAAUUUGCUUUGGGACCAGCUCCAAGUCCUGCAAGGCUUGCAAAUGUUUAGGGGGAGAUUUCCAUAUCACUCUAAAGUUGCUUGUCUUUCUCCCAAAGGGAAAGGCUGCUGCCAAAAGUGGAGGACUUAAAGCUGGAGGCCGCCCCAAAGACGGGGAAAUGAAGAAAACGCCGUUUCUGGAGCUCCCUGAGGUGAGUGUGUGCGCGCGAGUGCACGUGUGCUAGUCUUUGGCUCCUUGUUAAUUCCCUAUAACAGAUCACAGUGCCGAGGAGAAGCCAGGGCGUCUCUAGGCAUUUGGCCAGCAGGAGGGGCACAGUAGGCUGGACAGCAGCGGUGGGCCUGCUCCUGCUCCCCUAGGAUUCAUCUUAGCCUGACUGAUCAGUAAUUUCAGCACUCUGCCUUACUUAGAAAUCUCCAGGAACUUCUCCGUGAAUUUACAAUAAAAUCCAAACUACUCUCCCUGGCUCUCGAAGUCCUAAGAGAUCUGCCCCUGCUAACUUCUCUGACAUCACUCCCUCCAUGGUCCUCACUCCCUCCAUGGUCCUCUUGCUCACACCACUCUACCGCACUGAAGCCUUGCCUUUUCUCACCUGCCACGCCAUGUCCAUGUCAGGAUCCCUUCCUAUGCCCUUGCCUGGAAGGCUCCCCCAGGUCUCUGCAUGGCUUGCCUCCUCUAGAGUACAGGUCUUCGCUCUAAUAUGGCUUGCUCAGAGAAGCCUGCUCUGACCCUUCAACUUAAAACCAUUCUCCCCUAAUUUCCAUCACUCUAUCUUGCUUGAUAGUUUUUCCUUUAUGAUACAUCACUGUCUGAAAUUAUCUUGUUUAUUGAUUUUUUUGUUUAUUGUUUUAUCUUCCCCUAGAGUAAAAGUAUGAGGUCGGAGAUUUCAGCUUGUAUGCCCAGCAGCUUAAACUGUGCCUGGGUUUACAUGCUGGGUUUUUAGUAGAUAUUGAAGGAGCAAAUGGAUAGUGUUACUGAAUUGACCUCCUGAGAGUGAAGCUUUGAGAGCGUCUGAUCCGAAAAAAGGCUUUUCAUUGUCCUUCAAGAUCCUUCAAAAUCUGGCCCAAACUUUCUUUAUAUUCUUAUCUUGCAUGACACUCUUUCCUAUCACUUUUAAUCUAUCUAAAGUGGGCUUUGUUUUCCACUUUCUCGCUGCUCUUUCUCACCUUGGGAUUCUGUUCACAUCAGUUUCUCUAACCAGCAAGCCAUUCCCCUCGUAUCCUCAGUUCCUCUUAAAAUAACGCAUAGCCCAUCAUCUCCUCUUCUGUAAGGCGGUUGCCUUUGCACAUUCCCUUGCCUGGAGAAGCCCUUUUUUUACUCUGAAUUUCCAUGAGACUUGCACUCUUUUAGGCUGUGACUUGCAGCAUUGUACCUAGUAAUGUUAGUCAUUCACUAUAUCCUCAGUAUCUAGCACCUGCCGCAUAGUAGGCACACAAUACAUAUUUGUUAAAUGGGUGAAUAUUAUAGUUUUGUUAUCUUUUUACACUGUAAAUGUCAUGGAAGGGUCUAUUUUGUUUAUCUGUGUAACCUCCUACAGCAUCUAGCAUGCUUGUUGAAUGAGUGAAUAAAUGAAAGCUAUUAUUCCCAACUCCAGGUGUAGUUCAACUCAAAUAAUGAAUAAAUCUCCCAAUUGUCUGGGCCAUCUUUUGACAUUCCUCCUCCCUUUGGGCACAUUGUUUUGUUUACAUCCCCAUGAAUGCUGUGUUCAGAAUAGCAAUACUAGCAACUGAUGAUUGUGGUAUGCGGAAUUCUAAGAGAGCAUCUGCCAAGAUUCCGAGCCGUUGGCAUAACCAUGUUUUCCCCAUUAUUUUAAACAUUAAUCUAGGUACUUCUGUGCAACGGAUUUGCAGAUAUAUUUAAGGCAUUGAAUCAGUUAACUUUAAGUUAGGGAGAUUAUUCAGGUGGGCUGGACCUAACCACUUGAGCCCUAUAAAACCAGAGAAUUUUCUUUGCUCACACACAAGAAAAGAAGUCAGAGAUUUGAAGCAUUAAGGAAUUGGAUGCACAAGUAUUUCUCUGUUGCUAACUCUGAAGAUGCAGGGGACCACGUGAUAAGGGAUGUGGGUGGCCUCUAGGCCCUGAGGGUGACCCCCACAUGACAGCUAGCAAGGAAAUGAGGACCACAGUCAUACAACUGCAGAAAACUCAAUUCUGCCCAACCACAGGAGCUCAGAAGCAGAUUCUGCUCAGCCGCAGAUGGAAACCAUACCUGAGGCAACGCCUGAAUUUCAGUCCGGUCAGGUCCUGAGUGGGAACCCAGCCAUGCCAUGCCCAGACUUCUGACCUACUAAAACCUUGUGAUAAUAAAUCUAUGUUGCUUUAAGUUGCUAAGUAUGGCACUUUUUGUGACACAACCAUAGGAAACUGAUACAGUGAUGAGGAUGAAGGCAUAGAGAAACAACCUUCAAGAAGGACUGGACGAAAGAAAGAGCAACAGCAGUCCCCAAGUUUUGCAUCUCUGUCUUAUGACUCUGAUUCUUCAGCUCCAAGCUCCACAACCACUAACAACUACAGGUCUUGAUUCUGUCCCUGGCCACUCAGGUACCCUCUAAGAAAGAGGAUUGAGACAUGAUUAAUAAAUGAAUGUCUUCUUUU